GCCAUGCCGCGUGUGUGAAGAAGGCCUUUUGGUUGUAAAGCACUUUAAGCAGUGAAGAAGACCUAACGGUUAAUACCCGUUAGCGAUGACAUUAGCUGCAGAAUAAGCACCGGCUAACUCUGUGCCAGCAGCCGCGGUAAUACAGAGGGUGCAAGCGUUAAUCGGAAUUACUGGGCGUAAAGCGAGCGUAGGUGGCUUGAUAAGUCAGAUGUGAAAUCCCCGGGCUUAACCUGGGAACUGCAUCUGAUACUGUUGGGCUAGAGUAGGUGAGAGGGAGGUAGAAUUUCAGGUGUAGCGGUGAAAUGCGUAGAGAUCUGAAGGGAUACCGAUGGCGAAGGCAGCCUCCUGGCAUCAUACUGACACUGAGGUUCGAAAGCGUGGGUAGCAAACAGGAUUAGAUACCCUGGUAGUCCACGCCGUAAACGAUGUCUACUAGUCGUUGGGGAACUUGAUUCCUUAGUGACGCAGCUAACGCAAUAAGUAGACCGCCUGGGGAGUACGGCCGCAAGGUUAAAACUCAAAUGAAUUGACGGGGGCCCGCACAAGCGGUGGAGCAUGUGGUUUAAUUCGAUGCAACGCGAAGAACCUUACCUGGUCUUGACAUAUCUAGAAUCCUGCAGAGAUGCGGGAGUGCCUUCGGGAAUUAGAAUACAGGUGCUGCAUGGCUGUCGUCAGCUCGUGUCGUGAGAUGUUGGGUUAAGUCCCGCAACGAGCGCAACCCUUUUCCUUAGUUACCAGCGGUUUGGCCGGGGACUCUAAGGAUACUGCCAGUGACAAACUGGAGGAAGGCGGGGACGACGUCAAGUCAUCAUGGCCCUUACGACCAGGGCUACACACGUGCUACAAUGGUAGGUACAGAGGGCAGCUACACAGCGAUGUGAUGCGAAUCUCAAAAAGCCUAUCGUAGUCCAGAUUGGAGUCUGCAACUCGACUCCAUGAAGUAGGAAUCGCUAGUAAUCGCGGAUCAGAAUGCCGCGGUGAAUACGUUCCCGGGCCUUGUACACACCGCCCGUCACACCAUGGGAGUUGAUUGCACCAGAAGUGGGUAGCCUAACUUUUAGAGGGCGCUCACCACGGUGUGGUUGAUGACUGGGGUGAAGUCGUAACAAGGUAA
rnacentral:rRNA from 1 species